UUUUGGCUUUCCAAUUGAUGUUGGCUCUGACCUCUUGACAUUCAAUUGACAGUAAGCAGAGAUGCUGAGACAGUUCAGAAGGAACAUCACCAGGAGCCACAGCAACAGCCAAGGAAGCUUAUAUGGAAGUAUUUUUGAUUUUCAUUUUCUUUCCCCUACCCCCUGCUGACUCUAACAUAACUAACCCUCACCUUCCCUUUCCCCCUCAUUUCAUCUUCCUGAAUUAAUUGCCAUUGUUUUCUGCUUUUUCAACUAAUUGUGUGGUACUGAUUUUUACCACUUGAAUUUUUGUGAUUUGUUGCAUUGUUUUGAAGUUUUACUAAUCUUCUGCCAGUUUUAUACUUUCAGGAACUCAGAAGAGGGACAACGAUGGAGGAGCAAGGUCGUCCAACAGAAAAAGACAAGACGACGAGUCCAUUUCUCAGCUAUAUACAGCAGUCAGCAUGGCCCAAAGUGCAGAAGAAAGUUGAGAUUGACCAGGAUGCUGAAGUGCGGAGAAGUACCUCUCCUAUUUAACAGCAUUCGAGAAAAGAAAGUACGUAAGCAGAGAUGCUGAGACAGUUCAGAAGGAACAUCACCAGGAGCCACAGCAACAGCCAAGGAAGCUUAUAUGGAAGUAUUUUUGAUUUUCAUUUUCUUUCCCCUACCCCCUGCUGACUCUAACAUAACUAACCCUCACCUUCCCUUUCCCCCUCAUUUCAUCUUCCUGAAUUAAUUGCCAUUGUUUUCUGCUUUUUCAACUAAUUGUGUGGUACUGAUUUUUACCACUUGAAUUUUUGUGAUUUGUUGCAUUGUUUUGAAGUUUUACUAAUCUUCUGCCAGUUUUAUACUUUCAGGAACUCAGAAGAGGGACAACGAUGGAGGAGCAAGGUCGUCCAACAGAAAAAGACAAGACGACGAGUCCAUUUCUCAGCUAUAUACAGCAGUCAGCAUGGCCCAAAGUGCAGAAGAAAGUUGAGAUUGACCAGGAUGCUGAAGUGCGGAGAAGUACCUCUCCUAUUUAACAGCAUUCGAGAAAAGAAAGUACGUAAGCAGAGAUGCUGAGACAGUUCAGAAGGAACAUCACCAGGAGCCACAGCAACAGCCAAGGAAGCUUAUAUGGAAGUAUUUUUGAUUUUCAUUUUCUUUCCCCUACCCCCUGCUGACUCUAACAUAACUAACCCUCACCUUCCCUUUCCCCCUCAUUUCAUCUUCCUGAAUUAAUUGCCAUUGUUUUCUGCUUUUUCAACUAAUUGUGUGGUACUGAUUUUUACCACUUGAAUUUUUGUGAUUUGUUGCAUUGUUUUGAAGUUUUACUAAUCUUCUGCCAGUUUUAUACUUUCAGGAACUCAGAAGAGGGACAACGAUGGAGGAGCAAGGUCGUCCAACAGAAAAAGACAAGACGACGAGUCCAUUUCUCAGCUAUAUACAGCAGUCAGCAUGGCCCAAAGUGCAGAAGAAAGUUGAGAUUGACCAGGAUGCUGAAGUGCGGAGAAGUACCUCUCCUAUUUAACAGCAUUCGAGAAAAGAAAGUAC